GUGCAAGAGAGUGAAGGGACGUGACGUCAUGCGGGACAUUAGCAUAUUGCGGAGUAUAAUAGACUUUGAUUGACCAGCCCGCCUUCACUUGUGCUCUGCGCCAUCUGGAUCGACACUCAUUUGUAUCCAAUACACCUCCGAUCUUGCGGAAGUCUCCAACUUUGACAAGACCAAGUUGAAGAAGACCGAAACGCAGGAGAAAAACCCCUUGCCCACCAAAGAAACCAUUGAACAGGAGAAGCAAGCAACAGCAUGAAGCCCAAGCCUCCACUAUGCACUGUACAUUCCACGAGCAUUGCCUUUUUUUUUCUCACUUCUUUUAGCUGUAUAACUGUGUAACCAAAACCUAAGUUGCAUUGUAAUUGGACAAAAGCAGAAGCCUGUACAGCCUCCUACAACCCCUCCCUUUUACAUAAAGUCUGACAGGAAACAACUACUGACUGGCAGUCUGACUAGGAGGAUGUGUCGCUCGUCUCAUCCUGACUCACUCCAGUGCUCUGUCACCUGUCCCUGCCGUGUCCCUGCAUCCCGCCACUUGUGGUUGUGAAGGGAAGAGCAAGGGUGUGAUGGAUCAGUCCAACCAGGGACACACACUGCUGACAUCCUGUGUAGUUCAGCUUCUGGCCACCUGUGAAAUGCUUUCAAAUCAAGCAGUGUUUUGUUUUUGUGUUACUUGUUAAAUUGUUUUGGAUAAGUUCAAUUCUUGGAAUGCACAAGUUUGUUUUGAUAUGCAAUUAAAAAAAAUCUAAC
rnacentral:lncRNA from 1 species